CAAGCACUCAUAAAUAAUUCCAAGGCACGGGAGGCAGCAAAUUCUGCAGACAGCCCAGGAUUGGUUUUGGCAACAUGCACUUGGUCUGGGGCAGGCUCACUGUAACUCUCUCUCUCCACCAGAGGAGAUAAAAAACGAAAAAUGCAAAUAGGAGAUCCAGCGGGGACGUGAACACCGCUCAGUGAGAAAGGGAACCGAACACCCAGGUGGCUGAGAGCAACUUUAGAAACUUGGCAUUCACUGAGCAGGACCAGGGAGGAGAGUGACUGGCGGGAAAUCUGCUCCUGUCUCCCAUCAGCCUACCUUCUGCUCUGCAGAGGAGUCUAGGACACAGACACACACAGAAGGAAAACCAUGGAGACACCAGGAGAAGAUGCCCAUCUAAAGCCAAGGAGGGAGGCCUCAGAGGAAACCCUCCUGCCAACACCUUGAUCUUGGACUUCUAACCUCUAGAAGUGUGAGAAAAUAAAUUUCUGUUGCUUACGCCA